AAGAUUGGUGUGAUGAUUUCCAGGCACACAUCUGACAAUUCCAUGUGGAAUUUAACUACUAGGCUU
rnacentral:snoRNA from 1 species